AUUGAACGCUAGCGGCAGGCCUAACACAUGCAAGUCGAACGAGUGGCGGACGGGUGAGUAAUGUAUGGGAAACUGCCCGAUGGCGGGGGAUAACUACUGGAAACGGUAGCUAAUACCGCAUACCAUCGGAUGUGCCCAUAUGGGAUUAGCUAGUGGGUGGGGUAACGGCUCACCUAGGCGACGAUCCCUAGCUGGUCUGAGAGGAUGACCAGCCACACUGGAACUGAGACACGGUCCAGACUCCUACGGGAGGCAGCAGUGGGGAAUAUUGGACAAUGGGCGAAACCCUGAUGCAGCCAUGCCGCGUGUAUGAAGAAGGCCUUCGGGUUGUAAAGUACUUUCAGCGAGGAGGCGUUACCUGCAGAAGAAGCACCGGCUAACUACGUGCCAGCAGCCGCGGUAAUUC
rnacentral:rRNA from 1 species